rnacentral:rRNA from 1 species
UACAGAGGGUGCGAGCGUUAAUCGGAAUUACUGGGCGUAAAGCGCGCGUAGGCGGUUUUGUAAGUCGGGUGUGAAAUCCCCAAGCUUAACUUGGGAACUGCAUUCGAGACUGCAUAGCUAGAGUAUGGGAGAGGGAAGUGGAAUUUCAGGUGUAGCGGUGAAAUACGUAGAUAUCUGAAGGAACAUCAGUGGCGAAAGCGACUUCCUGGACCAAUACUGACGCUCAUGUGCGAAAGCGUGGGGAGCAAACAGG